UGGGGAAUUUUGCGCAAUGGCCGCAAGGCUGACGCAGCAACGCCGCGUGGGUGGUGAAGGCCUUCGGGUCGUAAAGCCCUGUCAGGUGGGAAGAAAGGUUUCAAGGAGAAACACUUGGGAUUUGACGGUACCACCAGAGGAAGCACCGGCUAACUCCGUGCCAGCAGCCGCGGUAAUACGGAGGGUGCGAGCGUUAUUCGGAAUUACUGGGCGUAAAGCGCGUGUAGGCGGGGAUGCAAGUCUGAUGUGAAAGCCCUGGGCUUAACCUGGGAAGUGCACUGGAAACUGCUUUUCUUGAGUUCUGGAGAGGAAGGGAGAACUCCCGGUGUAGAGGUGAAAUUCGUAGAGAUCGGGAGGAACAUCAGUGGCGAAGGCGCCCUUCUGGAAAGCAACUGACGCUGAGACGCGAAAGCGUGGGGAGCAAACA
rnacentral:rRNA from 1 species